rnacentral:lncRNA from 1 species
AUUUUGGUCAACAGUAGACCACAUGUUGAUAGUGGUCCCAUAACAUCAUAUCACGUGUAACAUCUAGCUAUCUCGGUUUGUGUAAAUAAAUACACUCUAUGAUGUUCACAGAAUGAUGAAUUAUCUAAUGAUACACUUUUUACAUUCCCCAUAUUAAGUGAUGCAUAACUGUAUGUAUUUCUCAAGCAGAUCACUGGCAAUUCAUAACAGACAUCGUAUAGCCAUUUUACCAUGAAGAAAUUAUAAAUCUUUGGUUAAUUGUCAAAUAAGUAACUCUGUAGUCGACAGAAAAGAGUUUUCUCUUUUCUCCAUGAAGAGCAGUUAUAAGAAUAAUAAAUUUUUUACCAAAGCAAAAAUUGUACUGGAGAAAGCUCAACAGGCGAAGAAGACUUUGUUCUGGCUACUGAAGUAGAGGAGAAAGACCAGAACUGAGUGUUACUCAACUCUCCUAAAACAAAGAACAGAAAAGAUAUUGGGCAACAGUUUCUAUCUGUAGAAGUCCUUCAGAGCCCCAGUCUCAUUGACAGGAAGACAUUAACCUUGGUUCUUCCCACUUGAAAUAAUUUGCAUCUGAAUUAUAAGUUUCCAGAAAUGGAAUUAUCAAAGUGAGCCUACAUAAAAGCCAAGAGGUCUAAGGAAGUUUGUAAGUGAUGUACAAGCUUCCAUGAAGAUGGCUCUACACUUUCCCCAUGGCUGUUUGGACCCCUGGGAGACAGACUGAGCCAAUCAUCUUUCCUGGCCAUUUGGAAUUGGGUCUCAGAAUUAUGAAUACCAAGGGGCAUGUGGAAAUCCAGAAGUCAUGGAGUGGCCACUUGUGGUCCUUGGAAUCACAAGUGGCCCUCUUCUACAGGGGUGAAGUGAGGCAGAGAAUAAAGUUCUGCAGAGAGGGAAGAAUUAAAUAAUUAAUCAAAGAGAAGCAGAGGUGAUGGACUAAGCUUUACUUUUCUAUGUUCAAUGGAUGCUGACAAAAGUUGGCUUUGUGCAGUGUUUCUAUGAGGCAAUGAGGCCAAGCGUUUUUAUUCCCAAGGAUGAAAUGGAAAUGAUGGAGUCAAUAAGUAAGCGCUCUCAGAAGACUGGAAGAGGGACCUCUCCUUUAGCAGUGGAGGUGUGGCUUUUCUUUCCCAAUGGGCCAAAUCAAAAGUGUGGAAAGGCCAACACCUGGGCUUUGGUGGUAGUCUUGCCCACCUGCUGCCACCAUGGGCCUGGCCCCUGAGAUCCUGCUUCUCCAUCUGGAGCUCAGGUCAUAUUCCAGAGUCAUUUCAAGAUGGGCCUCAUUGUUUGGGGAGGUCUCUCCAAGUUUCUGCUCUUUGUGUUUACAACAUCAACUGAAGUCAUAUUUUAAGCGUGAAGGUGGUGGAAAACUGGACAGUCUCUGUGUUCUGACCUACAGAGAAGGACGUGAACUUGAGAGCCAUUCUUCUACGUUUGCUUUUCUCCUGGGCUAGGAGCACUCGGAACCACAGGGCGCGGGCUGGGUGGGGUCAGCAGGGGCCGGCGGGGUCAGCGGGCGCACACACAUUCCCGUCAUGCUCUGCUGUCUCGGUCCGGCUUCGCCCUCGACGCUGACUCUGCCACGAAGCAGUAUGGGCUGCGUUCCCAGGCUCCCAGAAAAGUUAGUAUCCCGCUCAGUGGUUUGUUUGAAAGUUUGAAUUUAGUUGUGUGACUCAAGCCACUAGUUGCCUGACUUUUGUCAGUCGUGGCUCUGAGGGAAUUUUGGAGCGCGUGAGAGAUUCUCUCAAUAUUGUAACACGGGAAGCCUUUCUGUUGAUUUUAUUGUAAUUUGUAUGGUUUCCCAAGGGGUUUGGCAGCUUAGCGGUGGUCUGGGUCUUUGAGUAAUAUAAAGCUGCCAUGGAUGUGGCUAAAUAAUACCUUAGGCAUGUGGUUUAUGGCCUGGGAACCUAGCUGUGUGUGCUUUGUAUUUUACUGCCAACCAGAAAUCUUGAGGGAAUCACUAGCUCAUCAACGUAGCGUUUCUCUCUGACCCUUGAUAUUCCAGCUGGCUUUUGAAAAUUACGACCACUUAACAGCUUUUGGCAGUCUCUGUGUGGAGGCGACUGAAAGGGAUAAAUUGUGUGAAAAUUGUCACCAUACUUGGCAUUUGAGGCCACUGUCUCAGAAGAGUAGCUGUUGUACAAAUGAUCUGCUUUGUCAAGAGCUGGCGGAAAAUAAAGAUGAGCUUCUAGAUGUUAUUAGGUUGCUGAAAGUCAAGCUCUGGGGAAACAUCAGUGAGAUCAGGAAGUCAAAUAUAUUGUAGAGAUGAAACGAUUGAAGUGGAAGUGCCCAUUAUUUCAGUGAAAUCCAAGAAGUUGGUAGCAGGAAACAGGUUUUUUUAAACCUUUUGUUUGGAAAUACUCAUAGAUUCACAGAAAUCUGCAAAAAAUAUACAGAGGUGAAUAUACCUUUCACUCUACAAUGUCUUGUGUAACUAUAGUAUAGUUGCAAAACCAAGAAGUGAGACAAAGUGCUUUUAAGAAAGCUGUGUGACCACCCAUUCAGAGAAUGAAAUCAUAUUCAUAUUCAGAAAUAGCAUCAUUUUUUUUUCUAAGACCUUACUUUGUGUCCGUAGUCGUUUGUCAUUUAAUAAGGUGGAUACAUUCUGAGAACUGCAGUGUUAGACGAUUUUAUCAUUGUGUGAACAUCACGGCGUAUAUUUAUACAAACCUAGAUAGCACAGUCUGUUAUACACUUAGUAUAAUUGUUAUAUUGUAUAUCCUGUUGCUCCUAAGCUACAAACCUGCUAAUCAUGUGCAGUAAAAACAUGUGCUAGAAGAUAUUUUUAAUCUCUGUUAUGGGACCACCAUCAAAUGUGCUGUCAUUUGUUAAAACAUUGGUUUGCAGCUCCAAUGUAUAGGACACUGGAAAUAUAAACAAUUCAGCUCUGAUUCCUUCCUUCAGGGAGUUACAGAAUAAUUAGAGAGACUGAUAUUAAAUAAGUAAUUAUACAGAUAAUUCAUCAGUUACAAUCUUGAUAAUUGCUAUGAAAUGAAAAUAUACUCAAAAGAGAAAUUGAUUUCAUGAAAAGACCUUAAAAGUUUCCAGAUGUUUAGGAGCCUUAUUUAAAGAUUUUCCAGAGUCUACAGUAGCUGCAACUUUAAAGUUUACUCUUACUAUAAAAUUUAUAAUUGUGCCCCUGCCAUUGGUCUGCAGAAGCCAAGUAUGUCUUGGAAUUCAUGGGCAUUGAUGACUGUCCCCAAAUGGCAGCUUAUGAAUACAUUACUAACAUAUACCAAUAAUUUGGCUGCAGAAAGAGAACUGGACUUCAGGAAUCUGUACCUUAAUAUCACCAGCAGUUGGAAGUGAUAAACCUAAAAUAGAUGUCUAACAAGUGGAGGGAUUCUUGAAAACUGGCUGUGUUCGAUGAGACUCUAAAACAUCUUUUCAGUUGUAAAAUUUCCUGCCUUUGGUUUGAGAGGGCAGCUUUGGCAAGGCACACAGAAUUCAAAUGCACAAGACUUGUUCAUGUGGCUCAGUGAUAUGAUCUAAUUUGGAAUCCUUAUGGUUUAAGUGAAGAGAGGAACAAUUAGAUUUAUGUUCCCUGUUGAGCACAAGACAUGGUAUCCAGGCAACUCAAGCUGAAUGCACAUAAGAUAGCGACCUUACCCACCUACUUGGUAAACUCUACACAGGUGGCGGAAAUAAUACCUGGAUAAAUAUCCCUGGUCACUUAGGACAUUUUCUUUAUAUCAACAUUUGCUGUAGGAGGUUCUCAUAUCUCCUGGUUUUUCCAGACAAACAGUAUGUUUCAGACAAGAAGUGGGAAACAAACGUUUGCCAGAAGUUUCUGGGGAGUAGCUGGCCUUAGCAGUGCUGUGCAUGGCCAAGUUAGCACACCUAUUGUCAGCUCCAGUUUUGUAAGAUGUCGUGAAUUAGGGUACCUGUCCAAGAAAUACAUAAUAUUUAGAAGUGCUGACUUGGUAUUUACUCAAGUGGAGCGUCUUUUGUGAUUUUUCAUUACUCAUUUGAUGUUCUGCGUCAUUGGUCACUGAGCCUUUCAGUAUAGAAGCAAGAGCAUUAGUUUGAGUGCUGCACUUGACCACCUGAACAUUCAUUCCAGUAAUUGGCUUCCAUCACAACUGUAAAUAAAACCGAGGAAAAAGUCUCACAGAAUCCAAAUUGCCCUCAAUCUUUCUUUUCCUUAUGGGGAAAUCUCAGGAUUGACAGCCCUCUUGAUGUUAAUUUAUUUGUUGAAUUUUACUUUUAUUAAAAGUUUACAACUUUAAAUAAUUUUUUUUCAGAAUGUUAGAUUUAGUUUGGGAGACUUUUUUGGUAAUGUUAAUGAUUCAAAUCAGGGCCUCUCAACUGAGCUGAACUAUGGCCCCAGCCUUUACAUUUUAAAAUUUUUCAGUCAGAGUGUCACUAAGCUGCUCAAUGCCUUGAACUUGUGAUCCUCCUGUCUCAGCUCCUGAGUAGCUGGGGUUACAAACAUGCAGUAUUGUAUCGGGUUGACAAAUUGUUAUUUUUAAUGAACUCUCGUGACUGGAAGAGAGUGCUCUUGACACUGAAGCCACAUGUACCAGUUCUAGAGGACUGGACUGGCUCUUGGAGCAAGGGUCAAAGUCACCCCCAGGGCUUUGCAUUGUGUCCUGCACACAUCUAUCUCCAGGUGCACACUGGCUGCAUUUGCUGUUGGAAACUUGCAGCUGGAUGGUGUAGGUUUUAGGGGCUGGGCUUUGGAAGAUAUAGAUCUGAUUUUUCAUCCUAUCUCUGCCACUUACUUCUCUGAGUCCUUGGGCAAGUAGUGGUCUGUACCUUGGUCUCAUCUGAGAAAUGAGACCUACCACAGAGUUGGAAAAAUUAUUAAGAUAAUAUUGAGAACUUUGAACAGGACCUGAGGUAUGUUUCCUUGUGGAUUGCCUGUCUCCCUAGUUGGAAUAUAAGCCUCACAAGGACAAGGAUUUGUCUCAUUGUUGUGACGCAAUGCAGGGGACAUAGAGGGUGCUCCACAAGUAUUCACCAGAUUAAUGAAUAAAAAAAGUUAUAUGUUUUUCUGUAUUACUAUAAAGUGAGAGAGAACGGUUUAAAUAUUUGAGGAAUAGAGACAAGACAAUUAUAAGAUCAAAUUAUUGGAGAAAGAUAUAUCCCCAUGAAUUAUCUAUCUAUAUUUUACUUUUGGGCAUCAAUUCCACAUUUAAGUAAAUUUAUAAUUUUAGCUGAGAAGUCAUAACUCCUUUCUCUAGAUAAUGGUUUUAAUGAUUCCUGAGAGAAAGUGGUAUAGCCAUUUUUGAUCUUUGAUUAAUAUGCAUAUACAUUUAAUAUAAUUAUGUGGGGUUUUUCUGAUUCCUUACUGAAUAUGGCAGAUUUUCCAUUCUUCUUUUUCUUUUUUUCAUUUCUUAUUUAUUGCUGUCUUACUCUGCCUCUAAGAUAAAACACUAUAAUGCUUUAAAAAUAUAUCUGAGAAUCAAUAGUGUAGAGAAUGUUAGCUUGUCAGGGAAAAAUUUGAAUGUCAAAAUAUUGCUUUUCUUUAGGAGUUACGCAGAGUUUAAAUUCCAUAGGCAAUUAUUAAUUACAUUAUCUCCAAACUGCCAAAAUCUGGUUUCAACUAGGAAUCAAUUUAGAGGACCAGUAUGUGUCUGCUAGGAAUGAGGUGGGCACUGAGUGAUAUUUUGCCAGUUUUAGGGACAGGUCAUUCACCUACCACCAGAUGGCAAAGUUACUCCAUCAGAUUUCAGGAGAGCUUUUGUUAAAACAGGUUUGUCACUUUUGUGAACUGGAUGGUUCACAUUUUUGUGGAUGCAGAAAAGAGAGCAACUCAUGAGGGCCUGUGUUUUAAAAUUUUAUGUAGGAAUUAAAGUACAAAUUGUUACAGAUUCUGGUACUAUUUGUACACAUAAAAUAUCUAAAGGGUUAUUAUGGUUUUUUUAACCCAUAAGAGAAUGGUGUUGACAGGUAAAUUGGAUGCCCCCCCCCACACCUUAAGGUGAACUUCGAUUUCCCUCUUUAUAACUUCUAACCUUCUGUCUUUCUAAGUCAUUCCACCCACCUGUUCUUUGUGGGAUCAUAGUAAUAGGAUAAUAAUUAAGAGCAAGAGUGUUAGAGACCAACAUCUCUGUGAUUAAGUCCAAACUAUUCCAUUUGGGUGAGCCAUGUAACCUCUUCAUGCUUCAGGUUUCCACAAAGUCAAAGUGCCUACUUCAUGGAAUGGCUGGUGUGGAUAAGGCAGUAUAGCUGAUGCCCCUGUCUGGCACCUAUGGGUGCUCACAUUAGGGUGUGUUCUGUUAGCUGCAAUACAUUUUACUCACCAUAUGUUAUCCUUGGGUGAAAAAGGCAUGUGAAUGCAAUAUUUUAUAUCCCUCUCUGAGACAUUAAAAUUUCAAACUACAGUAAAGUAUGACUUAGCUAUGGCACCUUUGCCUGUUCCUCCUCACUCCUACCUUCAUCCUUUGGAUAGGCUAAAUCACCGGCUUUCAGCAGUGGGGUGUGCGUGUGUGGGUUGAUGUUCCCUCCCCAGAGAACAUUUGGUAAUGUUUGGAGACACUUUUGGUUGCCACAAUUGUGGGAGGGAGUACGUAUUACUGACAUCUACUGUGUAGAGCCUGGGAAUGUGGUUAAAUAUCCUAUAAUGCACAGGGCAGCCUCCCUGAAGCCCAGAAUUAUCUGGUGCCAAAUAUCAAUAGUGCUGAGAUUGAGAAACACUGGGCUAAAUAGUACUCAGAAGAAGGAAGAUUUCUUGUCUUUGGUAUAGGCAAUUCAACUAGAUUAAAUUUCAAACAUAUACUAAUCAGGACUUAUACUAGAAUUGGGGAUCUAAGGAUUAAAAAGACAUAAAUCCAGGAUCUGUGAAGAGUCUGCAUUUUUUUUUUUUAACUUAUCAGUACUGUUUCAUGAUAGAAGACAUAAGACUCUGUGGUCAGAGAUAGGGAACUUUAUUAUUUGUGUGACAGCAAGCUGCACAAGCAUCAUGUUGGCAUCAUUUUCCUUGCUGCCCAAGGAAUGUGUGGGUGGACCUAGGUUGGUGUUAAGCAUGCAGUAAAUUUAUAUCAUAGCCGAAGAACCCUGAGCUUGGGGAAUCCACUGGUCUUACCAGAAAUGGUAAUCCUACUCUUUUUCCAGGGGGGUGGAGGCAAGAUUCCCUUCAUCAAUCUAUGGUGUAAAAAUUAUAGACAAGGGUAUUUCAGAUUAUUGAAAAAGCUUCAUAGAGGAAGAAAUAACUGGAUUUUGAAGGUUUAAUAGGAUUUUAUCCCAAAAAUAAGGCAGAAAAGGUUGUCCCAGAACCAGGAAUAGAAUGGGUAAAAGGCACAGACAUAUAAUCCACCAUGGGGUUUGGAGGGGUGUUGUAAAAGAGUAAGCCACACAGGUAGAGAGAGAGAGAUGGCUUAUGCAUUUAGUGGAGUGGUCAGUGGGUGUAUCUAGCCUGUUGAGUUCCUCAGAAGUAGGCUGAGAGUAGGAACAUCUUUUACUGUAAGCUGUGAGGGCAUAAAAUUGAGGGGAAUGAAAGAUUUUGUCAUGGGAAUAAUUGCCAUUCCAAACUCUGUAUAAAGUGUUAUUUGAUAUAAAGGAUUACAAGGAGGUAGAAGAGAAUCAAAGGUUCUGGUGAUACUGAGGAUCCUCUAAGAGAGGCUUUUCUUUUAUUGCCACCAUUAAGUUACCUUCCCUCCAGAGCAUCUCAACAUAGGUUAUGUGGGGACAGGGAGGACUCUGCAAAGACCUGGUUGAGUUUGAACAACUAGUGAGCGCAUGUGGACUUUUAAAACUAUGUCAUGCAACUAUAAACUUAGAUACGACAAUGAGCACAUGAGCUACAUUUCUACAAGAUGAUUUUUUUCCGUACUGUAGCUGUGAACCUUUAGUGCUGUGUGGGACCCAGUCUUCUGCACCAGUAGACCCUACUCAACAUAUGUUACUUGUUAGGGCAAGGCUGACAGACUAGAAAGCAGGUCAUGCUGGAUCAUUUACAAGAAAAUUUGGGGGAGUUUAUGGGUUCAAAGAAUGAUGUGUCUAAUGCUAAGCGCAAGAGUAAUUUGGGUAAAUAGCAGAGCACAGUCCCUUUAUUGCCCGUGGUGGGCAUCAUCUUGGCAGUUAAAAAUUGGCCACAAUGGAUAUGUUUGCACAAGGAAAUUGGCCAAUGCUGCAAUCAAGGAUUAUUUUGCUUAUCUAGUCACAAAAUGAUAGACAAAAUGUUAAUAAUGCAGACCGAAAUUAAAGGUUUAUCACAUCAGUGGCUGUUGCAUUGUGAAUAACACCAAAAUUGAG